GGGUUAAGGCCAAGACUAACACAACGAGAAAACGAACUACCCUAUUGAAUUGGGAGCUUAGACUUCGGUCAAAGCGCAUUCGUGGACAAGUUGUCGAGAAAAGGUUUUGGUUGUUCUCCUAGGUGCCCGUACCGUAAACCGACACAGGUGGGUGAGUGUAAGUGCACUAAGGCGCGCGAGAGAAACCUCUCUAAGGAACUCGGCACAUUAGCCCCGUAACUUCGGGAGAAGGGGUGCCCAUUUUUUGGGCCUCAGUAAAUUGCGUUUAGCGACUGUUUAACAAAAACACAGCUCUCUGCUACGUCGUUAAGACUAGGUAUAGGGAGUGACAAGUGACCAAUGCGGAAAGAUCAAAGCAUCUUGUUAGCCGUAAGGCGAAGCUCGGUGCCCAAGUCCCCGUGAAUGUCGGCCGUAACUAUAACGGUCCUAAGGUAGCGAAAUUCCUUGUCGGGUAAGUUCCGACCUGCACGAAUCUUGUAACGACUGAACGACUGUCUCGGAGAGGAUCUCGGCGAAACUGUAAUUGCGGUGAAGAUGCCGCAUGCCCGCAGUAGGACGGAAAGACCCUAUGCACCUUUACUGUAAGCUCGUAUUGUGUCUUGGUUAAUGAUGCGUAGCGUAGGUGGGAGACUUUGAAGCGAGUCCUUCGGGGCUCGUGGAGUCGCAAUGUGAAACACCACUCUUUAUUAAUUAGGAUUCUAACCUCGGUCCUGUCAACCAGGCGAGGGACAGUGCGUGCGGGUCAGUUUGACUGGGGCGGUUUCCUCCCAAAGAGUAACGGAGGAGCGCGAUGCUCGGUUCAGCACGGUUGGCAACCGUGCGUUGAGGGUAUGGCUAGAAGCCGGGCUAACUGUGAGACUUACAAGUCGAGCAGAUACGAAAGUAGGCCCAAGUGAUCCGACGGUAGAAUGUGGAAUUGCCGUCGCUCAUCGGACAAAAGGUACGCUAGGGAUAACAGGCUGAUCGGUUCCAAGAGUUCAUAUCGACGAACCGGUUUGGCACCUCGAUGUCGGCUCAUCACAUCCUGGGGCUGGAGAAGGUCCCAAGGGUCCGGCUGUUCGCCGGUUAAAGUGGUACGCGAGCUGGGUUCAGAACGUCGUGAGACAGUUCGGUCCUUAUCCACUGUGGGCGCAGGACACUUGAGGGGUUUCAACCUUAGUACGAGAGGACCGGGUUGGACGCACUUCUGGUGUGGCAGUUGUCUCGUCAGAGGCAUCGCUGCGUAGCCAUGUGCGGAAGAGAUAAGCGCUGAAAGCAUCUAAGUGCCAAGCUCAUCCCAAGAUAUGGUGUCCCGGACGCAAGUCCCUGAAGAUACCCGGCAGACUACCGGGUUAAUAGGUUAGGAGUGUAAGCGUGGCAACACGUUCAGCUGACUAAUACUAAUCAAUCGUGAGGCUUGAUCCU
rnacentral:rRNA from 1 species